UACGGGGGGAGCAAGCGUUGUUCGGAUUUACUGGGCGUAAAGGGCGCGUAGGCGGCCACCGCAAGUCGGUUGUGAAAUCUCUGGGCUUAACCCAGAAAGGUCAACCGAUACUGCGGGGCUAGAGUGCAGAAGGGGCAACUGGAAUUCUCGGUGUAGCGGUGAAAUGCGUGAGAUAUCGAGAGGAACACCUGCGGCGAAGGCGGGUUGCUGGGCUGACACUGACGCUGAAGCGCGAAAGCUAGGGGAGCGAACGGG
rnacentral:rRNA from 1 species